rnacentral:rRNA from 1 species
CCUACGGGUGGCAGCAGUGGGGAAUAUUGCACAAUGGGGGAAACCCUGAUGCAGCGACGCCGCGUGAGUGAAGAAGUAUUUCGGUAUGUAAAGCUCUAUCAGCAGGGAAGAAAAUGACGGUACCUGACUAAGAAGCCCCGGCUAACUACGUGCCAGCAGCCGCGGCACUACGUAGGGGGCAAGCGUUAUCCGGAUUUACUGGGUGUAAAGGGAGCGUAGGUGGCAUGGUAAGCCAGAAGUGAAAACCCGGGGGUCAACCCCGCGGAUUGCUUUUGGAACUAUCAGGCUGGAGUGCUGGAGGGGUAAGCGGAAUUCCUGGUGUAGCGGUGAAAUGCGUAGAUAUUAGGAGGAACACCGGUUGCGAAGGCGGCUUACUGGACAGAAACUGACACUGAGGCUCGAAAGCGUGGGGAGCAAACAGGAUUAGAUACCCUUGUAGUC